GUAAUUUCAGGACUUUAUAGCACUCAUUCAUCGGUCGUAGCCACGACCCCUGAAUCAGAGCCACUACUUCUUAUUCGUUAUAUUUAGGUGUUAAGCACCAUCUUUAGUUCUGUGUAUAUCCUCUAGAGAGAGACGUUUGAUUAAAAUAGAUUUAGAGACAGCAUUUUUGAGUUAAUGGCUGGUUUUCUCACCAACAAAAUAGAUCCUAAACAAUGGUGUUCGGAUGCAGACACUAUUUUUUCUACUAGCUCCUCAUUACAAGCUCUUCCCCCCGUAGACAUACAAAGUGGUUUCAAUAAAUUAACUAAGAUUUUUAAACAACAAAUAAGGACUAGUUGGGAAAUCUCAACCCUUGAGACAUAUAUUGUUAAAAAGAUCAUCCCUAGGGGACUUAGGGUUUUAGUCCCACCCUCUAGAAAUAUUGAAAUAGAGGGAUUCACACAAGAAUGGGAAGAUGCAGCAGCUAGAUGCUCAACCACCUUUAUGUCUAUCAUAUGUAAAUAUGAGUCUGUACAUUUAACACAUAUUCAAAAAACCUUGGAUACUGAGAUUGAGAACAUCCAAAAGUUUAAGGACGACCCCCAGUUCCCAAAUUUAGAAGUGAGAUUGAAGACCAAUUUGGAUAGAUUUUCUUACCAAAUCAAAAUUAAAAAACACCAUAAAUUCGUUAGGGACACUACGGAUUUUGAGACUGGAAGAGUCUAUC